AGAGUUUGAUCCUGGCUCAGGAUGAACGCUGGCGGCGUGCCUAACACAUGCAAGUCGAGCGUGGUUCAUGUAAGCGGAGACUUCGGUCAAAGCGAGCAUGAUGAAAGCGGCGGACGGGUGAGUAACGCGUGGGCAACCUGCCCCAUACACGAGGAUAGCCACUGGAAACGGUGAUUAAUACUCGAUAAGACCACGACACCACAUGGUGAUGUGGCCAAAGAUUUAUCGGUAUGGGAUGGGCCCGCGUCUGAUUAGCUGGUUGGUGAGGUAACGGCUCACCAAGGCGACGAUCAGUAACCGACCUGAGAGGGCGGACGGUCACACUGGAACUGAGACA
rnacentral:rRNA from 1 species